rnacentral:rRNA from 1 species
UUGACCUCGGAUCAGGUAGGGAUACCCGCUGAACUUAAGCAUAUCAAUAAGCGGAGGAAAAGAAACCAACAGGGAUUGCCCCAGUAACGGCGAGUGAAGCGGCAACAGCUCAGAUUUGAAAUCCGGCCUCGGCCCGAGUUGUAAUCUGCAGGGGAUGCCCCUGGCGAGACGCCCACCGAGUUCCCUGGAACGGGACGCCAUAGAGGGUGAGAGCCCCGUAUGGUGGGAUGUCGAGCCUCUGUGGGGCUCCUCCGACGAGUCGAGUAGUUUGGGAAUGCUGCUCAAAGCGGGAGGUAAAUCUCUUCUAAAGCUAAAUACCGGCCAGAGACCGAUAGCGCACAAGUAGAGUGAUCGAAAGAUGAAAAGCACCUUGGAAAGGGGGUUAAACAGUACGUGAAAUUGUUGAAAGGGAAGCGCCUGUGACCAGACUCGCGCCGGGCGGAUCAUCCAGCGUCAGCUGGUGCACUCCGCCCGGCGCGGGCCAGCAUCGGUUCCCGCGGGGGGACAAGAGCGGCGGGAAUGUGGCUCCCCCGGGAGUGUUAUAGCCCGCCGCACGAUGCCCUCUUGGGGACCGAGGAUCGCGCUCUGCAAGGAUGCUGGCGUAAUGGUCACCGGCGACCCGUCUUGAAACACGGACCAAGGAGUCGUCCAUUACGGCGAGCGUUUGGGUGUCAAACCCCUACGCGUAAUGAAAGUGAACGCAGGUGAGAGCUUCGGCGCAUCAUCGACCGAUCCUGAUGUACUCGGAUGGAUUUGAGUAAGAGUCGUACCGGACGGACCCGAAAGAUGGUGAACUAUGCCUGUAUAGGGUGAAGCCAGAGGAAACUCUGGUGGAGGCUCGCAGCGGUUCUGACGUGCAAAUCGAUCGUCAAAUAUGGGCAUGGGGGCGAAAGACUAAUCGAACCAUCUAGUAGCUGGUUACCGCCGAAGUUUCCCUCAGGAUAGCAGUGUUGUCUUCAGUUUUAUGAGGUAAAGCGAAUGAUUAGGGACUCGGGGGCGCUCUUUAGCCUUCAUCCAUUCUCAAACUUUAAAUAUGUAAGAAGCCCUUGUUACUUAGCUGAACGUGGGCAUUCGAAUGUAUCAACACUAGUGGGCCAUUUUUGGUAAGCAGAACUGGCGAUGCGGGAUGAACCGAACGCGGGGUUAAGGUGCCGGAGUGGACGCUCAUCAGACACCACAAAAGGUGUUAGUACAUCUUGACAGCAGGACGGUGGCCAUGGAAGUCGGAAUCCGCUAAGGACUGUGUAACAACUCACCUGCCGAAUGUACUAGCCCUGAAAAUGGAUG